rnacentral:rRNA from 1 species
AACUAGGAUGGGGGGUCUAUAAUGCAGUCGAGCGAAUGGAUUAAGAGCUUGCUCUUAUGAAGUUAGCGGCGGACGGGUGAGUAACACGUGGGUAACCUGCCCAUAAGACUGGGAUAACUCCGGGAAACCGGGGCUAAUACCGGAUAACAUUUUGAACCGCAUGGUUCGAAAUUGAAAGGCGGCUUCGGCUGUCACUUAUGGAUGGACCCGCGUCGCAUUAGCUAGUUGGUGAGGUAACGGCUCACCAAGGCAACGAUGCGUAGCCGACCUGAGAGGGUGAUCGGCCACACUGGGACUGAGACACGGCCCAGACUCCUACGGGAGGCAGCAGUAGGGAAUCUUCCGCAAUGGACGAAAGUCUGACGGAGCAACGCCGCGUGAGUGAUGAAGGCUUUCGGGUCGUAAAACUCUGUUGUUAGGGAAGAACAAGUGCUAGUUGAAUAAGCUGGCACCUUGACGGUACCUAACCAGAAAGCCACGGCUAACUACGUGCCAGCAGCCGCGGUAAUACGUAGGUGGCAAGCGUUAUCCGGAAUUAUUGGGCGUAAAGCGCGCGCAGGUGGUUUCUUAAGUCUGAUGUGAAAGCCCACGGCUCAACCGUGGAGGGUCAUUGGAAACUGGGAGACUUGAGUGCAGAAGAGGAAAGUGGAAUUCCAUGUGUAGCGGUGAAAUGCGUAGAGAUAUGGAGGAACACCAGUGGCGAAGGCGACUUUCUGGUCUGUAACUGACACUGAGGCGCGAAAGCGUGGGGAGCAAACAGGAUUAGAUACCCUGGUAGUCCACGCCGUAAACGAUGAGUGCUAAGUGUUAGAGGGUUUCCGCCCUUUAGUGCUGAAGUUAACGCAUUAAGCACUCCCGCCGGGGGAGUACGGGCCGCAAGGCUGAAACUCAAAUGGAAUUGACCGGGGGCCCCGCACAACCCGGUGGAAGCAUUGUGGUUUAAUUUCAAAACCAUCGCCUAAACAACCUCUACCAAGGUCUUGGACUUCCUCCUGACCAACCCUAAAAGACUAAGGGUUUCUUCCUUUCAGGUGCCUGGUUGUUGUCAACUUGUGUUGUGAGAAGGUGGGUUAAAUCCCGCAACGAGCGCCACCCUUGAUUUUAGUUGCCCUCCAUUAAUUGGGCCCUUCAAGGUGACCGCCGGUGGCCAACCGGAGGAAGGGGGGGAAGGCGUCAAAUCAUCCUUCCCCUUAUGACCUUGGCUACCCCCGUGCCUCCAUGGGCGGUACAAAGAAGUGCAAGGCCCCGAGGGGGAACUAAUUUUAUAAAACCGUUUUCCGUUUGGAUUGUUGGGUGCAACUUGCCUACCAGAAACCGGAAUUGCUUGUAAUUGCGGAUCAACCAGCCGCGGGGAAUACGUUUCCGGGCCUUGUUCCCCCCCCCCGGCCCCCCCCGAGAGUUUGUAACCCCCGAAGUUGGGGGGGUUAACUUUUUGGAGCCAGCCGCCUAAGGUGGGACAGAUGAUGGGGGAAGUCGAACAAAU